AAAAAAUUAAGAAAGUUAAAGCAACAAGAACAUACACUACACAGUGGCGAUAGGCAAAAUUCCAGCCAAUGUGCGCAUUUAGGAGCAAGAGGAGGAGAUGGAUAUGGGGAGGUGUCCACUUCCUGCUCACGUCAGAAGCACUGGGGAGCUUAGGUCUAAAGCUCUUCUGGGAGAGAAGAGGAGACCCUGGAUCUAAGACAUUCUGUAACUGCUGCUCUCGGCCCACAGGCCUGUUGCAAGGAGCCUUCCAGGGAACCGGCCUGCAGACUAACUCUGGAAGGGCACAUACAUAGAGCGUGUGUUGCUGAGUUUCCUCCUGCUGGUGGCAUUCUCUUGGGAAGGACUGCCUCUCCUGCCCUGGAUUUGGAUCUUGACCUUUACUGAGCGCAUUUAGCUUCCAUCAAAAUUGACUGCACACAUUCUUUGUUCAUGAAUCAGACGUCGUCGAUACAGCUUUCAUGGGAUUAGGAUGCUUUAUUCCAACCUUCAUCUUCAGGGAUUUCCAUGUAGAUGCUGCAUUGAUGGUAAUGUAUAUUAUCAGGUAACUCUUGGCUCUGGACGAGACGGAAAUAGUCCUAUUAUGGGAUAAAAGAACAGAACUAUGAAUUUGGAAGCAGAUCGGUGCAUUAUAUAACAUCUGUGACCACAUUUUGGUAUGUGUAUGUACAUGGCCAGAUAAAAUGCUAAAAGAGAGAGUGAGAGAAAGCACUUGGUCCCCAAAGUUGCUUAUAUACUCUUGAUCAUAAAAAGUCUCUCAGAAUUGACCUUGUAUCAGAAAACAACCACCACAACAAUGUUAACAUUGGUAACGGUCGGGUAGCAAUAAAGUAAGAUGCAACCUAUGAUACUGAAAGCAUUUUUAAAAACCAUUUAGCUGCUUAUUUCAUGAACAGUUUUCUUUUAAACACCUUUAUUGAGGCUACACCUGUUAUGUUAGACUCCAUAAUAAAGUCUACCAUAAGGUGAACAUUUUCGUAACUGACGCAUCCAAGGAGAAACAGGCAGGAAGAGCCAAAGUCUGCUGUGGUGAGCGGUCCAGUCACACCAGCACUGUGCAAGUGAGAAGCAGUGACCAGUCAUCCUGUCUCCACAGAGAGACUGACAGAGGAGAAAUCAGAGUGGAUACAUCAAUGAAAGUGCAACAGACUGGUCAAACGAGCUGGAGUCUAGGAAACAACAGGAAAUAUGGUGUAAAAUAUGAACGAAACUUCCUGCUAAGAUUCCUGGGAAAAUCCUAGAAACCCCUCAGGAACCAUAAGCCCUGAUGUAUGAAACAGCAUCUAUAUGUUCAAAGUACCAAAACAAAUUGUGAAGUUACUUUAGAAGUCAGCCAAAUCAAAAAGAAAAUUCAAUACUGGGAGCAUAAGGGGACAAAAAUUCUAAUUUACUUGACAGAAAAGAAGGAUUAGUUUCAAUCACUGAGUGGAUAACGUGACUUUAAAAUAGGCCAAAACAGGCUCGAUGAGCUCACUCAGAAAAUUUCAGCAGGAGAAAAAUGCCUUAAUACUAUCUUUCAUGGGCAAGCUUGGGACAAGUUCUGUCUGUUUGUUUUUAGUACUAGUUUUCUUGAAGUAUAAUUACCUAGUGGGUUGAGUAGUAUCCCCCCAAAAUUCAUGCUCUCCCAGAACCUCAGAAUGUGACCUUAUUUGGCAACAGGGUCUUUGCAGAUGUAAUUAAGGUAAGGAUCGAGAUGAGAUCCCGUUAGAUUAGCGUGGGCUCUAAAUCAAAUGAGACUGUCCUUAUAAGAAGCAGAAGGGGACACGCACCGAGACACAAGGGAGAACGCCAGGUGAAGAUGGAGGCAGAGAUUGGAGCGAUGCAUCUACAAGCCAAGAAACGCCAAGGCCUGCUGGCAACCACCAGAAACUAGGAGAGAGGAUGGAACAGAUGAUUAUCUCAGAGCUUCCAGAGGGACUGUCCCUGCCUUAACCCUGCCAAAGCCUUGAGUUUUGACUUCUGGAGUCCAAAACUGUGGAGAGAAUACAUUUCUGUUGUUUUAAGCCACCAGGCUUGUGAUAAUUUCUUAUGGCAGCUCUAGGAAACUGAUGCAGAUUCUGGUACUGGGAAUUGGGGUGCCACUACAACAGAUACCUAAAAAUGUUGGGGUGGCUUCAGAGUUGACUAAUCAAAGGCUGGAAGAGUUUUGAGGUUGGCAAUAGGAAAGGCCUAGAUUGUCUUUCAUGAGAAGGUAGAAAUAUGGAUGUUAAAGGUGAUUCAGGUGAGAACUCAGAAAGAAGUGAGAAGCAUGUAGAGAAAGUUUCUCAUCAUGAACAUGCUGUUAUUCAUGAACAGAAUCUUAGCAGAAAUAUCAAUGUUAAAGGUGCUUCUGGUGAGGCCUUAAAAGGAAAUGAGGAACAUAUUACUGGAAAUUGGAGAAGGCGAUCUUUGUUAUAAAGGGGCAGAAAACUUGGCUGAAUUGUGUCUUUUGUUCGUUGAAAACAGAACUCACAAGUGAUGAACUUGGAUAUUUAGCUGAGGAGAUUUCCAAGCAAAGCUCCUUUCUGCUUAUAGUAAAAUGCAUGAGGAAAUAAACUGAGGAAGAAACUGCCAGGCAAAAACGGACCAGCACUUCAUGAUUUGAAAGGUUCCAAGCCAAUCCAGAUACAAAGGAUGAAAAGAUGAGGAAAUUCACUGUUGGAAAGUGUGCUUGGGAGAGAGGGCCAAGGAUGCACCUGGACACCCUGUUACUGAAGAGGUUAGAUAGGUGACACAUGGAUCCACUCAGCCAUCUCAGCAGAAGCCAGGGAGAGAGAUGGGGUUUUGCAGGAAGGACCUGUGAAAAACCCUUUGUCUAAAGGUGUGGGUUGGCUUGACAUACACAAAGGACCAAUGAGCUUUUUAAGAAUGUUACAUCAGAGGAAAAACACUGCCAGCUCAGACAGAAGGAACAGAGACAGAAAGAAUGAAAAGAAGGCUAUCAAACUUCUGGGAUUCUCCAAGCAGGAAGUGGGCUGAUUGAACUACAAACAUGGGCUACCACUCAAGAAAAAGGAAGAACAUCUCCGAAGACAGAGCUGUGGACAUAGAGGCAGAGGACAGAGAGACAGGCUCAGGGCCAGGGGCCAACAGGACCACCACCCAGAGCCCAGAGGACAGGGCAUCAAGCCUCAUGGGAUUCCCAGCCUGGAAACCUCGCAGGAUUUGCCCUGCUGGCUUUGGACUUGCUUGGUGACCCCUGUAUUCCUUCCAGUUUCCCACUAUGGAAAUGGGCAUGUCUAUCCUGUACCUGACCCACCGUUCCAUUCCAGAAGGAGACAAGUUGUUUAGCUUCACAGGUGCACAGAUGGAAAGAAAGUUUUCCUGGGCUUGGGCCGUACCCAGAGUCUCACCCAUGCCUAAUUUAGAUGAUUGAGGUGAUGAGAUUUGGGACUUUUUGGGUUGAUGAUAUAGAUGAGAUUUUGGACUCAAGAGUUGAUGCUGGAAUAGGCUGAGGCUUUGGGGGGUGUGAGGAUGGGAUGAGUGACUUUUGCAUGUGGGAGGGAUGUGAAUUUUUACCACCUGGUAGGAGUUGUCUCUCUUUAUUGUUCUUUUAUUCAGAGUUCUACUAACUUUUCUUGUUUGUUUAUUUUUCCAUGUGAACUUUAGAACUGGCUUGACUAAAGCACCACACCACUCCCCAAAACAAAAAUGAAGACCUAAAAUUGUUGGCAUUUUAAUUGGGAUCAUCACAUGUAUAAAUUAACUUAGGAAUAACUGUUAUCUUAAUGAUACUAAAUGUCUACUUAAAACCUAUUAAGACAUAUUUGCCUGGCCAAUUUAUUAUUGAUUCCCUCUUCCCUUGCAUCCAGAUUCCUUGAAAUCCUUCUCCAUUUACAUGUCAAAUCUGUUCUUUUAUCAUCUCAGUUCUAGGUAUUCUAAAAGAUGCAAAGUAGAAUUAGACAAUGAUUCUGCUCUGAAGCCAUCUAUAAUUUCAUAAUGAAGAUAUAAUGACAAUUCAAAUUUACAAGAGAAAGUAAUGUGCCAGAAACGAGAACCUACCAAGCAUCUGGGCAGGGAAAACACUGUUUCUGAUGUACAAGGGCCAAGCCAGAAGGGCAUCCUGGGGCAAGACAGACGUAUCAGUGACUGCAAAUAAUUCCUGGACAUUUCCUAUUUUUUAUUGUAUUUUCCCUCAGUUAUCUACACUUUCUCUUUUUCCCAAUAAAAUUAGUCCAAUCUUACAUUACAAUAUUUCACCUUGUUAAUAAAACCCAGGACCAAAGAAGGAGAAUAACAGGGUUUUCUAAUCACCAUAUCUUAAUCUCUGAAUCUAGUCUGGACAGAAUGAUCACUUCCUGGAGGAAGUUGUCAUAGGGAGCGUUUACCAGCCAGUGGAAUAGGGACCCCUGCCG
rnacentral:lncRNA from 1 species